CCGGGAUCGGAAAAUCCUUGUCUCUGGGCCACCCACCCGUGUCUCAUGCUUCAAUGGGAAACUCGGGAGAUUAGUACUUGCUUCCGCCACAGGUUCAACUAUUUCGCCUUCUUCGAUGUCACGGCGCAGCGAUUGGGAAUUCGUUCCGGAGUCCGAGGCGUAAAUCGACAGAACGUUUUCUCGUUCCUCCUCGCUGGCGACCUGCUGGCUCCAAGGUCUUCGGUCAAUGGGCUCUUCGUCGAUGUGCAAUGUGGUAUGGUGCUUAUCGUGGCAUCGACGGCAUCGAUCCCGGCUGGUGCACCUUUGUACGCGAUGCGUCAUUGAUAGGCAAUUGCUGCAAAACCGCCCGAGCAGAGACUCUCGCAAUCGUUCUUCCGGGGCCUUUGCCCGAUAUACCGGGCAUAAUCUGAUCGGGUGCUUACCAUCGCAAAGUCGGCACGCUAUCGGAUAACGAUGAGUGCGGCGUUCCGCUUUCUUUCUUAGCAUUGUAUAGCGAGUCAUUAUUACCUGAAAAUGGUUAUUUUGUCGAUGUUUCGAUCGUAAAGUCAUUGCUAUUAUUGAUAUUUAUUCUUAAUAUCAUGGUACUUAUGGUUGGGUGGCGAGAAUUACAUCAUAUAAUUAUAGAACCGUGAAUUGGCAUAUAUUACUUGCGCGCUCUAAACCCACGUUGGUGUUGGUCUAUGAUUGACGUGUUCAAUUGGUCGUGUAAGGGGUGCAUAAUAUUGCAAUAUUAUCCGAGCAUAUGAAGAUUGUGUUUGCUCCUUUAUAUACAUCUAGCGAUAAAUUUUUAUCGAUUUUGAAAGUUACACCCAUCAGUGAGCUGUCAUACUCUAGUAAGAUACACGGACUAUUAAUAUUGUAAACAAAGCGUAUUAACUACAAUUCAUAGUGAUAAGGCCAUGCUUCUGCGAUUGAGCAUAGUUAUUACUGGUUUCACUGGGUGAUUAUGGUGAGGUUCUUCUCACCUUGGCCUGCCACCCCAAAAAAAAAGAGAAAGAGAAAAAAAAAAACUAAAACCAAAAAAAGUAUAUUAAAAAUUACGUUUAUUAAAAGGAAUGCAUGAGGUUUUAUUCAAUUUGCAUGUAUUUCAUGCAAAUAUUUUCCUCGGAUUAACCUUGUAGCAAGUGAGCAGUAGAUGUCGCCGUUAAAAAGAUGCAUGUUGCCACAUACUCUAGGGGCGAGAAAUUUUACACUAAUAUCGUAAACUUCUGUACCUAACUUGGCAACAUCCUUCGAAUGAAAGGAAAUGUCAUUCAUAAUUUUCCACGAGGCCAACCGGUCCCAAACGAACAAAGGCUAAAAAGUACGUUUUACCCCUUCUCAAAAGAAAAACAGCAGAUCGAAUUCCUCAGCAAUGAGCGUAGUUAAAUAUAUUGGUCGUACAACUGAUUUUCGCGGUAAGACACUGUGGGAGAUUGUGGGAAAUCUGCGGGACUUUGGUGUUGGCCGGCUCGUAAUACGUAACAAAUUCCAACGAUAUGAGGAGCCCUGCUAUAUGCGUAUACUUAAGGUGGAAGUUACUCCACAUGAUCCUGAAAAGGACCCUAUUCGUACAGGUCCCAAACGAACAAAGGCCAAAAAGUGGAGCUACGAAAAGGUUUGCACUCUUCCAAAAAAUGAGAUUAAACGCGCAAAAUUUCGGUAUAGUUGGUCGUUCUUUGGCAAAACUAGUUAUUUAUAUACCUGCUGUUUUAAAUUACUAAUUAUUUACGUAUUAAUUACACGUAAGAAAUGCAGUGUUUACAAAAAUAUUGCGGCUCGCCGAACAGA